UGGAGAAAACUGCGUGGCUGGAGGAGCAAUUGAAAAAUGGAUAAGAUAAUAAAACAAAAAAGUGAUCAAAUAAUGAAGCUUCAGGCCCAGUUAUUGGAACAACACAAAAUAUUAGAUAACAACGAAGCUAAGGAUGCUCAAAUUUUUGAGUCUACAAGCUCAGCUAGGGGAAAAGAACAAAUUGGAACAAAACAGUUUCCAAACAGUGAAGGAGGUUUUUCAAAACUCAUCCCUAACUGAACGUGAGGAUGAGUUGGCAUUAGGUGAACACAGUCAGUUAUUCAGUCCACCACCUGACAGUGUGUUAAAUUUAAAUUCUGUUAGUGCUGCACUAAAAGAAUUGUUAGUAAUAAGUCCAUGCAGCGAAGGAACUGAAGAAUUGUGGUACUGUAUUUGGGCGGAAAAUGGGUGUGGUAUGGAAACACAGAAAUGGCAUGAGUUCAACCUAAAACAUGGAUUAGAAUUUUAGCGGGGGGAUCAAGUCAAGUCUGGAAGUGUUACAGGAUGGAAGAGUGAGCCUACAGAUGAAAAAACACUGAGAGUGCAUUACCGUUAAGGUGUGAGGUAAAUUAAUAGAGUAAUGCAAAUUGCCUAAUGAGAAGUACCAUCUUGUGUUAAUGAAUCCAGUACAACAGCAAUCCUUUAUAGUUCUGUCACAGCUAGAAGCCUCAAAUAAUUCUGCUUCUCUGUCUAAAGAACAACUUGUCCUUUACGUUCAGAGUGUUGGGGAAACUGGGUACUUAAAUGGCCCUAAAGAUGUUUUAAUUUUGCUGCUAUUGCAGAGAUGAACAUCAUACAUGGACUCUUUAGGUCUAAUCAACCAAAAAAAAUUUUAUCCAAUAGGCAAGGAUUUUCAUGUACUGGGAACACAACUAUCAACAAUGCAACGUUCUACAGGUGCUAGUUUAUCAUUCAAGAACCUUAUACAAUGAUGUUAAUCUGCAAUUUGUAUGUCCUUUCCCAAGCUUCCACCAGAAGUUGAAUCUAUGAGUCAUGUAAGUUACAUGAUCAACAAUUGAUUUGUUUAACGGUGUUGUUUUUCUUUUCUCAAUAUAGGUUAAUAGUAACAUUGGAUCUGAAAAGAUUCUUGGUUGGGGCAAGACACUGAAUAAAUUGUAUUGAUUGGAUGGAUGACAUGACAUUGCUAUACUUAAUUCGGAUUCCCCAGACGGUAUUUGAUAUUAAAAAAAUUGAAGUGCAUAUCUGGGCUCCCUUCUUUUCUGAAGCCCCGUUUCCCCUUGACUCAUAA